rnacentral:lncRNA from 1 species
ACACAGGUAAGAGCAGGAAGAAGGCAGCCCAAGGAUAACAAAAUGUCAGAGCUGAGAGACCAGAGAUACCUGUCGCACCUCUUGGAUUAACUUUUCCAGCUCCGUGGAUGGUACCACAGCUUUCCAGAAUGAGGCAAAAAAUGUGGAGACCUCCCUUCCUGUACCAGCUCCCACUUCCCAACAACCUGACAGUCCUUACAGGACCUUCUGGACCAGAUCCUUCUCACCAAGGCUCACACCUUGGUCUCCACCACAUCUGAAGACGUUACAAGGAAUUCUGGCAUAUUACCAUCCUUGGCCUAGGAGCCCACCAAAGGACAUGUGUGGACCAGCAUUUGCUUUCAGACUUGCUCCUGCUGGCCUCCUGCCACUGCCUGAUGUCAGUGCUGCAAUGCUCUGUCAAUAGGGCAAGCCAUGGCAGGGCAAGUCCCCAUCUGCUCCCUUCAGGAAGAGGCUAGAGAAGCAGAAUGGUCAGACAUCUGAGAAGAGCUGGUAUCAUGAACCUUCUCUGCCCUGCCUUCUAGGAAUUCUGGCCACCUUCUGGUGCAGCUUGCCCCCGACAUCCAGACAUGAAGAGCCUUUGGUCUGAACUGCUUUCACCUCAGACGACAGGCCUUCUGGACAACACAAGGUGCUCUGUACAGCCCCUUUGGGAAGUCAGUGGCUUCUGCACCUUUGUGAAGUCGAAUCCUGCCUGGGAAGACAAGAACACAGACUGAGCAACCCCAACCUGGAUAUGACAUGG